rnacentral:rRNA from 1 species
UACCCUAAACGGUGGAUCACUUGGCUCGUGGGUCGAUGAAGAACGCAGCAAACUGCGUGUCAAAAUGUGAACUGCAGGACACAUGAACAUCGACUUUUCGAACGUACAUUACAGCUCUGGGAUUCAGUCCAAGGGCUACGCCCAUUUGAGGGUUGAAA